AUGAACGAAGAUCUUCAUGCAGAAUUCAUGUUGGUGACAGUUCUACAAGAUGCCGAGAAAAAUCUGGGCGCUCUCUUUAUUCAUCUGCUGGUUUGUAAGCUCGAGUGUGAUAUCAUGGUAGAGCCCAAGAACAGAAUAGUCUAUAGGCUCCCGCGACGGACAACAAUAUCCUUUUGCUCGUGUUCUGUUUUCUUCAAAGGUCAACAUCAGUGCACCGGCUAUGCAACCAAAAAUGCUGAAAGCCUUUUUGGUCUCCUCCCAUCCGGAUACCCAGUCAUAAUCGAGUUUGAGGAUAACUAG
rnacentral:rRNA from 1 species